rnacentral:rRNA from 1 species
AGUGGCGAACGGGUGAGUAAAGUAUCGGAACGUGCCCAGUCGUGGGGGAUAACGUAGCGAAAGUUACGCUAAUACCGCAUACGAUCUAUGGAUGAAAGCGGGGGAUCGCAAGACCUCGCGCGAUUGGAGCGGCCGAUAUCAGAUUAGGUAGUUGGUGGGGUAAAGGCUCACCAAGCCGACGAUCUGUAGCUGGUCUGAGAGGACGACCAGCCACACUGGGACUGAGACACGGCCCACACUCCUACGGGAGGCAGCAGUGGGGAAUUUUGGACAAUGGGCGCAAGCCUGAUCCAGCCAUGCCGCGUGCAGGAUGAAGGCCUUCGGGUUGUAAACUGCUUUUGUACGGAACGAAAAGGUUUGGCCUAAUAAGCUGAGCUCAUGACGGUACCGUAAGAAUAAGCACCGGCUAACUACGUGCCAGCAGCCGCGGUAAUACGUAGGGUGCGAGCGUUAAUCGGAAUUACUGGGCGUAAAGCGUGCGCAGGCGGUUAUAUAAGACAGAUGUGAAAUCCCCGGGCUCAACCUGGGAACUGCAUUAGUGACUGCAUAGCUGGAGUACGGCAGGGGGGGGAUGGAAUUCCGCGUGUAGCAGUGAAAUGCGUAGAUAUGCGGAGGAACACCGAUGGCGAGGCAAUCCCCUGGGCCUGUACUGACGCUCAUGCACGAAAGCGUGGG